rnacentral:lncRNA from 1 species
CCAGAACUAUCCAGAGUUUUAGGUGGAGUCCCCUAGUUCCCUCAGCUCACAGAGCCUUCAUAAGCAUUGGGGUUGAGGUCCCCAGAGCACUUGGAUGAUGUCUGGAGCACUCAGGUAACCCUUUGGGGGUUCCACCCUUUUGCCGAGGAUUGGGUGCAAUUACAGAGUUUGGGACCCCAGAGCCCUGAAGAGCCCUGGGCAAUGGAAGCCAAGCCCAAAUGGGAGACCUCAGAAGUCCAAUGAAGCUCAGGAACUCAAUGACUGGCAUUGAGUCCUGGGGAAGGCCCAGAGCCCUAGGGAGCCCUCUAGUUUCUCAGGUCCUUGGCACUACACGGAUGGAACUGGCAGCCCUUGUAGAAUGAAUGAAUGAAGUGGGGGAGAUAACACAUGAGUGGUCACCGUUUACUUUCUUCCCUCUCUUCUGACAUGCCAGACACCAUAGUGAUCAAUUAUACCCAGCCUCCUACUCUGUCCUCCUCACCUGCAACAGAUUCAGUACUCAAGACCUAGUGGGCCAUUUUGUCCCCAAAGUCUCCAUAUCUCUUCCCCUAUUCUUGGGAUUUUCCAGGCCCAGCUCCUGUUACUCUUGUGCUGUUCCUUCUCUCCACAACAGCUAACUCUUCAAAGGUUUGGGGAUGUCAACCUUGCCACUACCCCAGGUUCCACAUAGGUUCCCAUUGGUCUCACCUGCUUCUACCCAAUCCCCAGCAGGGCUCCAGUCCAACACAACAAUCCUGAGCAGUGAGUCACUUCUUCCUCUCAAUGUGCUUGAAUAUGUGUGUGUGUGUGUGUGUGUGUGUGUAUUUAUUUAUUUAUUUUAGUACCAGGGAUUGAACUUGGGAGUACUCAACCACUGAGCCACAUUCCUAGCCCUAUUUUGUAUUUUAGAGACAGGGUCUCACUUGAGUUGCUUAGUGCUUCACUGUUGCUGGCUUUGAACUUGUGAUUCUCCUGUGUUGGCCUCCCAAGCCACUCGGAUUAUAGGUGUGUGCCACUAUGCCUGGCUCCUUUACAUUUUAAAUGUACAAGAACCAUGUAUUACUUUUGGGAUCACAACAUUGUGGGAGUCUAUGAUGCAGCAAUGAGAAAUGGUCAGGAACCACUGUGAGGGUUAUUUGCUCUGCUAAACUCAUCAUGUGGCCAUAGCCAUGAGCCCUUGCAUGUGCAGGCUCUGCAUGGUUACUAUGCCCGGUUGAGUCCCACCACUUGCAGCAAAGGAGCAGAUCACUGAAGCAUGGGCCCCAUCCCUGGCUGGGCCUCCUCUUUCCUGCCCUCUGCUAGCAGUGUGAAGCCAGACAUGCAAGGCAUAACAUGGAUAUUGCAUUCUAUCCUGAGUUUUUAACAACUUUUUUUUUUUUUUUUUGGUACCAGGGAUUGAACCUGGGGGCAUUUAGCCACUGAGCCACAUCCCCAGCCCUUUUUUAUAAUUUAUUUAGAGAUGGUCUCACUGAAUUGCUGAGGCUGGCUUUGAACUCAUGAUCCUUCUACCUCAGCCUCUGGAGCCACUAGGAUUACAGACGUGUGCCACCACCCCUGGUUUAUCACCUUUCAAAAAUACAUGUAAG